rnacentral:rRNA from 1 species
CCUACGGGUGGCAGCAGUGGGGAAUAUUGGGCAAUGGGCGCAAGCCUGACCCAGCAACGCCGCGUGAAGGACGAAGGCUUUCGGGUUGUAAACUUCUUUUCUCAGGGACGAAGCAAGUGACGGUACCUGAGGAAUAAGCCACGGCCAACUACGUGCCAGCAGCCGCGGUAAUACGUGGGUGGCAAGCGUUAUCCGGAUUUAAUGGGUGUAAAGGACGUGUAGGCGGGACCGCAAGUCAGAUGUGAAAACCAUGGGCUCAACCUAUGGCCUGCAUUUGAAACCGUAGUUCUUGAGUACUGGAGAGGCAGACGGAAUUCGUGGUGUAGCGGUGAAAUGCGUAGAUAUUAGGAGGAACACCAGUUGCGAAGGCGGUCUGCUGGACAGCAACUGACGCUGAGGCGCGAAAGCGUGGGGAGCAAACAGGAUUAGAUACCCUGGUAGUC